CUAUUACUCCCUCCGUCCCAUAUUAAUUGUCAAAAUAUUAUAUGUAUCUAGACGCUUUUUAGGCAUAGAUACAUUCAUAUUUGGACAAAUUUGACAGUUAAUAUGGGACGGAGGGAGUACAUC
rfam:Brachypodium distachyon strain Bd21 chromosome 1, whole genome shotgun sequence.